UGUGGUCACAGCAAAUCUUUCUAAAGCCCUAACCAGUGGAGAAGGGGGUUGUAUGGAUACUCUGAACCCUGACUAGAACUUCCUGAAAGAUUUAUUACGAGAAAAACCUUCCUGGAAGCAGCUGAAGGACAAACACAGAAUCCCUGGCCGGGCAGAAGCCUCGUGGGCUGGUCGCCACUGUUUGAGAAGAGUCACAUCUUGGAGAUCACUGGGGUGAAGAAGUUUUGAGGAGCAUUGAAAUUUAGCCCCUACCGUCUGUGCAACCACUGUGUCGCAGCUUAGGGAGUCUGGCCUCAGAAAGCCAGGAACUGUUCUGGCAUCCAGCGAAGAGUGUCUGCAGAUUCUAGCCAGAUGCUGAUUCAAAACGAAACCAAGUGAAGGAUCUAUACAUUUUUUCCCUGACUAUUGAAAAUAGACCGUCAAUGGAAGGAGUCAGAAAACCCUAGCUUGGAAUCCCAACUUGACCAUUUCCAUUUCUAAAGGUCUCACAUGAGAGGAAUGUCCUGCCACCCCCAGAUGAAGAUCCAAGUUGUGCUGCCUCAGGAAAAGCCACCCUGGCAAGCCCCAGCUGUUCAUCUGGAAAAUGCAUCUUGCAACCGCUUUCGAGGGGUGGACGAGACCAUGUGCGACCUGCACAGUCUGGAACAGAAGGGGCUCAGUGAGGGCAGCGUGCGCUCCUCUCCGCCCUCCCAGUUACAGCUGCUGUCAAAACCUCAUGCUGGAAAGAGAGCAGUUAACCCCAAGGAAGAGGGUUUCUCAAGGGUGUUCUGCGCCAUCCCUGUGUCACUGUGACCAGGGGCCUGUGCAGGAGGUCCCACCCCAGGCCUACUGACCAGCCCUGUGUGGGUGGACUUUGGGAACCUGUGUUGGAACAAGCCCCCCAUGAGCUUGUUGCAUAAGGCUCCCCAACCCAGGGCUCUUUCUGGACUACUGCUCUCACAGGCCUGGUCUUGUGACCAGAAAGGAAUUAGAAAGAUAACCCUCAUGAACUGCACCUGCUAGCUACAUGGAGCUUCAUUCAAGGAUCUUCUGAGCCGUGGAUUUACAGUGAUAUUUGGUUGCCUGGGGAAUUAUACCCACGGAAGCAAUCUCUGGAAUUACUCACACUUGGCCCAUUUCUGGAUGCUAAUGGUAGUUGUAAGGAAAGCCCUGACUGAGUGCCUCGCGGAUUUCUGCAGCCUGACGCCCAUGGGGUCAGAGGAUUGUGUCUUCCUGCAACAGCAGAGAUGUCUGUCCUCAUCUCAGACUGGAAUGUUUGUGGGUCUCUGCCAACUCCUUCGGGAGCUCCCUGUGAAAUAAUCCUGUAAUACCUGGGACUUAGGUGUCUUUCAUCUGAAAAAAACACAUGUUCCUUCAGUACACCAGAGGAACUUGAGAACUGUCCUUCCCUGAACUAAAGCUGGAAUAUCUUGGGAUUUGGAGACGGAAGGUUGGCCUGGAUUUUACAGGAGUCCUGAGCUCCUUUGGAGAUGUGCCUCUCUCCAGCACUGAGCUAUCUGCAUUCUUGAACAUCUCAGGGCCCAGAAGAAAAAGAAGAAAGCUGAUCAGCUCUUCAGAAUGGCCUGAAUCAGAGGAGACUGGGAAGAACUUGACAGAGGGCAUAGGCCCAGCAGUCACACUGACCUCGAGAGAAUCAUCCUUGUGCCUGGGGACCAGCGGACAUGUGACCAGGAGAAGGGGGCCUAGAACACAGCCAUAUCAAUCCAUACAGGGUGAACGCCCCCCACCACCUCCCCCACGACACAUAAUACAUUUUCCCCGAGAUGUCCCCCUGAGCUAUCUUCAUUUAAUGUGGCUUUGACAGGAUAGUCAGUCUGGAAAUUUUACUCUCAAUUAGACUUCCGUGUUGAACUGCCCUGGUUUUGGAAGGAUCCAUUAGGAUCGUUAAUUAUACAGCAGUUGCUACAAGGAGGUAUUUGCACUCACUUUCAGCUCCUAGGUAAUUCAAAUCAAAUGCUUUCUUUUCCUCCCUGGAGCCACGUGUGACCAUCUUCCCCUCACACUGCAGGCUGCUCCUGAGUUAUUUUGGGAAAUACAAAUCAAAGCAGCAAUUUUGGCGGAGGCCAUUUCUAGCCUAGCAAAGCCAUAUGUACUGAUACAAAGAGCCCAAGUCAGUGCCUUUAAAAAAGCCACAAAACCAGCUUCCUCUGUGGGGCUUAAAUUUUGUGGAACUGCAAACUAUCCUUUUUACUAUCAUCUUCCCUUGUGAACUCUACCUGAAGUCAAAGACAACUGGAAUUCCUUUGAAAUUACCAAAGAUCUGUCCAUUUGCAAACUGGUGCCGAAGAUCAUUUUGUUUCAAGAUGGCAGGCCUUAGCGGAAUUUUCUAGGGACUCAUGUUUUGGCCUCUGUUACUUUCCCACUCUCUGCUGCUCCUUUCUUUUACCAAGCAUAGGUGACAUAUGUCUUUACCCUAAUAAGCAGGCAAACCUCCCUGUGACCCGUUAGAACUUAAGCUCCCUGUGGGCUGGGGCUAAGUUUUUCAUCAUGUUUUGUGCCUGGCACAUGGUAAUGUGCUCAAAUAGUUGAAUGAAUAAAAUCCUAUUUCUGUUUUUCUCUGUCAAAAAAAAAAAUCAUUAUUAUAUAAAUAAUAAAUGAAUGUUUCCAUGUUGGGAAAAAGAAAACUUUCCAAAUAAGACUAAGGUUUUUUUUUGGAUCAUUACUUCCAAUCCUUAUUUCUUCAUCAUUUCUGCUUAAGUUAUCACAUUGGGGCACAUCCUUGCAGACCUUUCUAAUGCAUUUAUCUACACACACACCCUGAAUACUGUUUUUGUAGACCCUUGAUAAGCAGAUUAUUCUGCCACUUGCGUAUUCCCACUCAGCAGUGUAUCAAAGAGUGCUGCCCAGGUCAGCUGCCUUAUUCUUUGUGACUGCUACAGUUUUAUUACAUGGUGUGGAUAUAAUACUUUUCAUUUUCUUUCAGUUCAGGAUUUCUGCUUAUGUACAUGUUGGCAAACUAAAAUGUCCACUGCUGUCUUUUGGUGGCCACGACACAUUUCGUGAAAAUCAACCAACUGCCUUGGAGAUUAGGCCAAACCCAGUAGACAGAAGCAUGUGAAAUGCUAAGGGUUGCCAGAGAGACCUGAAUUCUCUUGUCUGCAGAAGCUGUGGAAGUACACCCUCUGCUAGAAAUUGUACAGGGCUUGCUAAAUGAGUGACGUUAGGUCUGGUGUUGGGUCUGCCCAUAGCCAGCUGGCUGUCCUUGGGCAGGUCAUUUCCUCUCUGUGGACCUUAUUUUCCUCAUCUGCACAAUGGGCAUAGAGAGCCUCUUUCACCCGUCAGACUCUGAAUAAUAGGCCUUACUUACACAGUGCCACCAGGAUUGAUAACCAGAAUGUAGUAGCUUACUCUCCACUACAUGUUAGGAUGGAAAAUGGGCAAUUUUUAAAUAGAUUUUAAUUUUAAUUAAUUAAACAUAUCUUAUCACAUUGAGUUAAUCAAUUAUAUUUUAUUAUGUUUUAAUUAACAUAGAUUUUUAAAUUUUUAAAUAGGCAUUCAGUCCAGAGCUCUUAGCCGAGUUGAUGUCACAAAGACAUUAUGUUGGCCAGAAAUGUACUGCCUUUGCAUCUUGCUCUUCUUUCUUAUUCUUAUUCAAUUAAAACGUAAUUUUUUUCUUUUG